CCCAAUUGCUUCCCUCCAUUAUUUUCCUCCAUUUACUUUUCAUAAUUUGAAUUUGGGUUAAAUUCUAAUUUCUUAAAAGAAACCCUACAUUAAAAUUAGUGUCCUGUUAGCUUUCGUUCACAAUAAGCGAUCUAAUUUCUCAUCUUUCUCUCUGAAUCUCCCUGCUGUCGAAGCUCCUAGGUCACCCUACAUUCUCUUUGGAGUGAAGUGUCCUCUCGUAUACAGCAAGGAGUCCUCAAAGAGUUUAUGUGACAAUGAGCUUACGAAAAUAUUUACCUUAAGAAAAUGGGUUCAAGGUGACCUGUAGACUUGCUUGGAGGGAUAUUUAUUGAUUUGGUGGCCGCGUUAUCACUUGGGUUUCUAGCCUCAACAUCAUGAAUAUUUAACGAAUGACGAUUUGGAUGGCUUGGGUCAUAUUAUUGGGAUCAAAUUAUUAUAUAUUGGCAGUCUCUAGAGUUUCAAAAGAUGAGCGUGCAGACAAAGGCAGCUCGAAAGUCCAAGAAGGGUGGCUCACUGCACAUAUAUGGUUCGACGUCUAUAGGGACAACUAAGAGGAAAUUCGUAAUUGAUGAUGAAAAGGAUGAGCAUGAUGGAGACGAUGAAAUGGAGUAUUAGGUGGUGCUGUUAUUUUUGUUUGGAAUUCUGUUAGUGAGUGUUGGAAGAACUUGUUUUGCCACUUGUUUGCAUACUUUUUAUACUUGUUUGCAUAUUGUUUAAGUUGGAUGAAUAUGUAUGAAGUUUGGUUGCUUAAUUUUAAUGUUUGAAUUGUUUCAGAAGCAUUUUUUUUA